rnacentral:rRNA from 1 species
GUGAAAUUGUUGAAAGGGAAGCGCUUGCUAUCAGAAUUGGGUUCAGUCGAUCAGCGUUCUUUCUAGUUCGUGCACUCGAUUGUUUCCUUGUCAGUACCAGUUACAGCGGCAUGAUAAAGAUGGCGGGAGUGUGGCUCCCUUCGGAGAGUGUUAUAGCCCGCUAUGUCAUGAUGCCUGCAGUGACUGAGGACCACGCUUUUGCAAGGGUACUGACUUAAUGGUUGUAAGCGGCCCGUCUUGAAACACGGACCAAGGAGUC